GGUGGGUUUCGGGACUCAAAAGGGUUUUGAUCCAUAAGGCACAUAAGGUUUAAGUUGUGUGACAACUAAUACAAAAUGGGCAAUUAACUCGCCAACAAUUUGGAGGCCAGCUUUGCAUAGAGAGAAAGUGGUUUUGGACUUAUUACAAGUUUGCUACUCCAUUGAAGAUAUGUAUAAAAGUAUCUUUAUAGCAUUUUCUUCAUUUAUGGUUUCUUUGAGGAAAGAUGAGAGAACACAAGCUCUCUCUUUCUCUCUAGGAGGCUGGACACUAUGGGUGAAGAUUGCUAUCAUUUUCUUUAUCCAUAGUCACUCAUCUUCUUCCUUCACCAUCCUUGGUGUCGAAAAUUAGAGGUCUCAAACUUUGGAGACUUUUGGAGAAUCCAUUCACCCUCCUUCUCCAAGAAAUCGUGGAGCAAAUUAGAAGCAAGGAAUGAAGGCCCGGCCUCUCUCUUGGGUGAUUAGUCUUUCCUUAUGCAAAGAGGAUUCAAUAAAGGUAUAAAAGUUUCUCAACUCUCUUUGUGUUUUGAGUUGAGUUUUGGUUCACCACAACUACUAGGCUUUGAAUUUCAUGGUUUAAGUUUUGUUUUAAAGUGCUUAGAAACAUGUUUCCACCAUUUAAUCAUUAAAUGCAUGAAUUAUAACAAUAAUAUGGUUCAAAUUCGCUUUUGGCGAAAAUUGAAUAUAAGACCUCUCACUUAUAAGUGAAGAGGAUUCAAUAAAGGUAUAAAAGUUUCUCAACUCUCUUUGUGUUUUGAGUUGAGUUUUGGUUCACCACAACUACUAGGCUUUGAAUUUCAUGGUUCAAGUUUUGUUUUAAAGUGCUUAGAAACAUGUUUCCACCAUUUAAUCAUUAAAUGCAUGAAUUAUAACAAUAAUGUGGUUCAAAUUCGCUUUUGGCGAAAAUUGAAUAUAAGACCUCUCACUUAUAAGUGAAGAGAAAUACCAUUAAACCGUAGUAAUGGCUAUUCAAUUAAUUGUUUAAUGAGAUGUUUAGGUGACAUCGCCCACAUGAUGUUGGACCAUUGAUAAAGUAAACCUCGUGGGCAAUGGACAGUGGUGAAGCUAGGAAUUGACGGGAGGAGGGGCGAACUUAAGAGAGUGCAAGGUUCAAGAAAAAAAAAAUCUUAGACUCUUAAUCCUAUAGUGGACUAUGCUAAUAUGCCUAAUAACUAAUCCAACCAACAAUUCAAUUAACCAAUACCAAUAAGCAUACAAAUUAUUCAAUAAAUAACAAUUUAAUUCAACUAAUCGUAUGAAUAAUUGUAUACAUUAAUUAAUAAUUCAAUUAAUU
rnacentral:lncRNA from 1 species